AAGUUUCUAUGAAUUAACAAGUUAUUUAUUUGUUUAAUGUUACAAAUGUACAUACUAAAAUAAGAAUAUUGUCACUAUUCUGUAUGAAUUAACAAGCAUCGCGCCAACACUGUAUUAACAAUAACUAAGCUCUGGCAUACAAUAGUAAGCGCUUACUAUUGUAUGCUCUGGUAUACUAUUGUAUGCUAGAGCUUCCCCCUAUGGUUUAUUAACUUAUUUGGCGACUGAAAAUACAGUAAUUAUAGUUUGUACAUUUACAACGAGGCGAAGUCCCCCCCCCCCCUUCUAAAUGACAAAUGUAUUAUAAACAUUGAAGCUCGAGGUAUUUUUUUUUUUCGGGUGCACGCAUCUCAGGCUUGAAUGAGAGCCGGGGCUAGGCUCGUCUCGGGGCUAAUGGCCGAAUCUCGGGCUAACGGCUAACGGCUAGCACAACUGAGUGUGUUGACGAACGAGCGUUUGAAAUCCCACAAAGAGUCAGCCCCCUUCAGGACGCCAUUCGUCACAUUUCAUUAAGGACCAACAAAACGGGCAAAUUGUGUGCGAGGUACAUAAAUGCAGUCAAAGGUAAGGCGUUGUCUGAUGUUAUAUGCUGCGGAAUUAUUACAUAAUAUGGCAUAUACUGUAGACAAAACAUAUACAGUUAUUAUCAGAUGAACACUAAAUAUGAACCCUGAGUUUAUUUUUCCAGUUUCCGACUCGGUUUGUAAACAAGCCGUUAUAUAAAUAAUUAAUUCCAUGUUUUGUCUUACUUCAGUAGAAGAACACCAUGUGAAACCGAACAAAUAAAACCAAUUUUAUUCGACAAGAUAUGUUUUCUAAAUUACCAUGGACCUCUCAAUAAUGGAAGACGAGAUUGCAAAGCCUGUUUUUUCCCCCUAAAAACUAUUGUUGCUGUCUGCUACAGGAUGUGAACUAUUUGCAAAGAGUACAAUCAGCAGAGGACAAUUUGUUGCUGAAUAUCGGGGAUAUAUGAUAAAUGAUGCAGAAUACUAGAGCAGAAGAUGAGUUUACCACCAAUCAUAUGCUGCGUUUAUGUUUGCAUUCAAGUGGAGAGGGAAAACAUGGUGCAAUGAUGCUUCACAAGAAGAUGAGUCAUUUGGGCGACCAGUGAAUGAUGAACACAGGAGGCCAAAUUGCCAGAUGAAAAGGAUUGAUGUGGAUGGUGUGCCACACCUAUGUGUGUUUGCUUUCAAUGACAUUCAAGAGGGAGAAGAAAUGACCGAUGAUUAUGGUGGCGAAGACUGCCCAUGGAGAACACAAGUAUGUAUACAUUGCAGAUUAUAAAGAAUGGCUCUGUGUAAUAAGGAUGGAAGUAACUUUUGAAA